rnacentral:tRNA from 1 species
GUGUCCAGGGCUUCGGCCUCGUCGUACUCACCGUUCUUGGCGGUCAGCAUCAGCACUGGCGUGGUGAUGCCCUGAGUUCGAAGCUCGGCGCACACCC